AGGUGAAAAAAAAAACGCACGCCAAAAAAAAAAAAAAAAAAAUUAAAAAAAAAACCAACGAAACAAAGAAACGAACGUUUCUGAUCCCGUCGUUCCCUUUUUUGUUGGUACCAUGGGUUCUUUGCUUUCUUUGGCUGUUUU
rnacentral:ribozyme from 1 species